rfam:TPA: Bos taurus chromosome 8, whole genome shotgun sequence.
UCCCAUGUGGCUCAGCAGUAAAGAAUCUGCCUGUCAAUCAGGAGACCCAGGUUAGAUUCUUGGCUUGGGAA